CGCGGCCUAUCAGCUUGUUGGUGAGGUAAUGGCUCACCAAGGCGUCGACGGGUAGCCGGCCUGAGAGGGCGACCGGCCACACUGGGACUGAGACACGGCCCAGACUCCUACGGGAGGCAGCAGUGGGGAAUAUUGCACAAUGGGCGAAAGCCUGAUGCAGCGACGCCGCGUGAGGGAUGAAGGCCUUCGGGUUGUAAACCUCUUUCAGUAGGGAAGAAGCGAAAGUGACGGUACCUGCAGAAGAAGCGCCGGCUAACUACGUGCCAGCAGCCGCGGUAAUACGCAGGGCGCAAGCGUUGUCCGGAAUUAUUGGGCGUAAAGAGCUCGUAGGCGGUUUGUCGCGUCUGGUGUGAAAACUCAAGGCUCAACCUUGAGCUUGCAUCGGGUACGGGCAGACUAGAGUGUGGUAGGGGUGACUGGAAUUCCUGGUGUAGCGGUGGAAUGCGCAGAUAUCAGGAGGAACACCGAUGGCGAAGGCAGGUCACUGGGCCACUACUGACGCUGAGGAGCGAAAGCAUGGGGAGCGAACAGGAUUAGAUACCCUGGUAGUCCAUGCCGUAAACGUUGGGCACUAGGUGUGGGGCUCAUUCCACGAGUUCCGCGCCGCAGCUAACGCAUUAAGUGCCCCGCCUGGGGAGUACGG
rnacentral:rRNA from 1 species